UAGUCCUAUUUGGGCGUCACAGGGUUAACUGAGCCUUAGCCCCUCCCACAGGCGUGUGUCUGGUUAGCGCUGGGGAGUGGGAGUCGCACUUGGGUUCAGUACAGAGUCGCACGCCUAUAGUACAGUAGACAGUGAUCAGCGAGCAGAAGUUGCAGGAUGAAGCCCAUGUUUGUAGCGGCGACUUUGCUCCUCCUUUGCCUGAUCCCCGUGCCGGCAGUUUUUGGGUGGUCCUUGGAUUAUUCCUCUUGGCAGUCAUCUUAAUCGUAGCUGGAGUUAUCACUUGCAUCUGCAAAUCCGUCUGUUAUCUGUUCAGCGCUUGCCUUGAUUGUAUCUGCUGCCGUAAGCCAAGAGAAGGAAAUCAGACUUUUAUGGAAUUCCCUUGAAGCCUCUGACUUGCCAAUUGCUUAUAUUUUACUACUGGAUUAUCUAAAUGGAGAGAAGAUGACCCACCCUUUGAGUGGCAAGUGUUGCUUUGCAGCCAUAUGAGUGCAUUUUCUGGUACAUGUUUUGCUUUAGUCACUACAGUUAGGAAUCACUGAUAGAUUCUAUACAUUAUGAGUUUACGUUUAUGGCUAUUCACUGACAAUAUAAAGCAUUAUGUUCAUUCUUCUGGGAUAAGAAUUUCCCAUACACAUUCCAUAUACUGCCCGAACAGUUACAUGGGGAUCACACACUGUAUGCCCCCCAUUCCUGUUGUUCUGGAACUACAAAAACACGGGUAUCCUGUACCCUCCAGAUAUUGUUAAAUUAUAAUAGCCACAACUUAAGCCUGACAAGACGGUGUUGGGAGUUCAAUAUCUGGACAGAUUUCUUUACUGAAACAAUUAAUGGCUUCAACAUAACUCCCUGUACGUAAAUUCCAAAUAUUUCCCCGUCAGAUGCAGCUGAUUGUGUUCUUUUUUAUUGUAAGUUCUUUGUAUUAAAACGGGAUGUUCACCUUUAGAAAUGUAUUAUUUUAAAGAAGUAUA